rnacentral:lncRNA from 1 species
GCAAAUGUGUACCUGAAUAAUUUACAUACAUCGGAUACAUUAAGUUCAUCAACCAAAAGACACGAGUUAUGAACCGAAUAUAUCACAAGGCCAAAAGGCACUAAACAUGUCUGAGUAUAAAUGUAUAAGACAUACAAUCAUCCAAAAAUACAAACUAGGCCCUAAGCCUAACCAAAAAUGUAGCCUAACAAGUGCUAACAUCUACUCUCCGGCAUAAUCUACGAAGUCCUCGCCAUCCACACGACCUACAGUCUCGCUUGGCUCUUUGUCAUCUAAGGUGGGGGAUAACCCGUUCAUUUAUCACAUACAAAGCAAGGGUUACCAUCUGGAAACAGGAAAUACAAAUACCAAAUACCAAAUAGAAAGCGGCUAAACACUUAUCAUUUUCCUCAACACACGCAUAAUAAUCAUUAAACUCUUUCUGUUUUCUUCUUAAACAAACUCUUCAUCUUCCACAUGUUAGACUCUAUUUUGCGUUUUUUUGCAUGUUAAAAGAAACAAAAAUGGAGUUUGGCAUAAAAGAAGCUCCUUGAUUUUAUCUUCUUUCUCUGUUACAGAAAAAUGGAAAGUAGAAAUCAUUAUUAUUUACUUGUUAUGCUCUUUGUUCUUUUUGUGGUUGAGUGUGUAGAUUUAAUUUCAAAGUUGAGAAAACAGAUUGUGAGAAGAAAGAGGAGAUCCGAUUUAAAC